rnacentral:rRNA from 1 species
AACGAACGCUGGCGGCAUGCCUAACACAUGCAAGUCGAACGAGACCUUCGGGUCUAGUGGCGCACGGGUGCGUAACGCGUGGGAAUCUGCCCUUUGCUUCGGAAUAACAGUUAGAAAUGACUGCUAAUACCGGAUGAUGUCUUCGGACCAAAGAUUUAUCGGCAAAGGAUGAGCCCGCGUAGGAUUAGGUAGUUGGUGGGGUAAAGGCCUACCAAGCCGACGAUCCUUAGCUGGUCUGAGAGGAUGAUCAGCCACACUGGGACUGAGACACGGCCCAGACUCCUACGGGAGGCAGCAGUGGGGAAUAUUGGACAAUGGGCGAAAGCCUGAUCCAGCAAUGCCGCGUGAGUGAUGAAGGCCUCGGUCGUAAGCUCUUAGGUUGGGUAAGAAGGGUAGUUUAGUUUCUA